CGGGAGGAAGGAGGGGACGACGUCUGGUCAGCAUGGCCCUUACGGCCUGGGCGACACACGUGCUACAAUGCCCACUACAAAGCGAGGCCACCCGGCAACGGGGAGCUAAUCGCAAAAAGGUGGGCCCAGUUCGGAUUGGGGUCUGCAACCCGACCCCAUGAAGCCGGAAUCGCUAGUAAUCGCGGAUCAGCCAUGCCGCGGUGAAUACGUUCCCGGGCCUU
rnacentral:rRNA from 1 species